GUGUGAUUUAUGCCUUACAGACCCUAUAAAUGGGGGGUUGGGGGCAAAGUCUGUGCCUCUCAUCAACCCCCUCCUUUCACCCCACUAAGUAAAUACCUUGGGUGCCAUGCAGAAUAUUGUGACAUCACUGUAAGGGCUGAAUGCUUUCCACAAAUCCCUGCACGCCACCACAAAUGGCUCCUCUGCCACCUAACCAAUGGCAGCACUCCACUUCGUUCCCCCAAGUGCUACAAUCUAUUGGCAGCACUGAGACCCUGGCUAGCUGCCACAGAGACUUAGUCCGGGCAGACCCUCUCUCCCAGUGAGCUUUCCUAGAUCCCCACCAUGGCUCAGGCACAGCGACCAAGCUUUUCCGGGGCAGAGUGGGUGUGGUGAGAUGACAGCCCCGGUGGGGGGUGCCUUGCUCUUUAUUUAUGGCUCUGUGACACUUUUAAAGUGCUGAAUGUUCCUAAAGGCUGGUAAAUUCUUUCCCCAAUCCUACAGAGACAGGGACGUGGGGGCAGGAAGACAGGUGGGGGCAGGAAUUGGAAUCUACAUGGACCAUAAUUGCCUCAAGUUUGUGAACUGUUAGUUUAAAAAUACUCUUGGAGACUUUAAUGGCUGAAUGAAAAUUCACACUCAUUAAACACCAUGGUCGAAGGGGGGGAAAUUCAGCCUGUGUUAUAUGAAUAACUUCACAGCUUGAAGUUCAGAAGAGUCACGUGGCUGGGUGAAUGAAGAGGGUGAAGCUCAGGAAACUGGGCUGGGGUGUGGUCACCAGGGCAGGGGACCCUCCUCAGAGAAGAGUCAGCAUCAGAAAGCAUCAAGCUUCAGACACUAUGGCUUCAGACUGGCUCUGCUGGUCUUUGACAUUCCCUUGUCACUACAACCUCAGGUCCUUGCCAUCUGGGGAUGGCACUUUCUAGUCAGUUCGAGAAAAUGGCAGUACACACAGCAGAAGGGUGUGGGAAGAGACUAGUCUGCUGAAUAAAAACACGGGAAGAAGCUGAGGUUCAGAGAGGGUGAAUACUUUGUCCAAGGUCAAAUGGCUGCUAAGAGGCAAGCUGCAGGUCGGAACCCUGGGAAGCUUGACUCAGAAGCUCCUACCCACUCUAUCCAUCAUUCUGCUUAAUGGGCAGUGAACCUAGAAUUAUCCAAACUAAAGUCCCCUGAACUAACCAAAGUAUGUCAAGCAGAUCAAUACUUGGAUUUUUAAAGCCUGACUGCUUGAUUCCUUUAAGGCACUAACUUGC